rnacentral:lncRNA from 1 species
GAACAAUCUCUGGACUCGGUGCCUCUGUGUGAUGCGAGGCUCUCCCUCUGAUGUGCUUUCCAGAAUCACUGCCGUCAAAUGCUAGAGAGGCAUUUCUUAAAGUUAAUCUCUCCCUUUGGCUCUCGUGAAAACAUCCAAGUGUUUCUUUCCUGUGAGUCACCAGCACAGGUGUAUAUAUAUAUAUAUAUAUAAAAUAACACAUCAAUUGAGACAGUUAUAUAAUUUAUUUAAUCAAAGAAAUAAAGACUGAAUUUUUCUCUCUGGUGUCUCUCUAAGUCAAGUCAACUUAGGAGAGCACAGGCCACAGUAGCAGCAGAGCAGCUGGGACAGGCUCCUACAGUUCUGCAUCUGCAGCCAGAAGGUGGAGCUGAUUCUUAGUCCUCUGUACACCUUCUCUGCCACAGGAGAGCUUGGCUCCAGGAAGAGUCUGACCCGGGGACCUCAGU